rnacentral:tRNA from 1 species
UGGGGCGUGACCAAGUGGUAAGGCAACGGGUUUUGGUCCCACUAUUCGGAGGUUCGAAUCCUUCCGUCCCAGA